rnacentral:lncRNA from 1 species
UGCAAUGACAGUAAGUUCCUUUCUCUCUUCUUUCCAGCCUCUACCGGCCACUGUGGCUCCAGAGUGAACUCCUCACAUCUUCCUCUGAAUUCAUCUAGAGUAACUCUGUAGCAGUCAUCAACAGUCCUGAGUUGUUAUUGCAAGUCCAGGAAGAAUGAGGUUACUCAGGCAACUGGAGGGUGAGGAUGGAGAAGAGCUUUAUUGAGCAACAGAACAGCUCUCAGCAGAGAGGAGACCCAAAGUGGGUAGCUCCUACCUGCAGGAAG